rnacentral:rRNA from 1 species
GAGGUUAAGUGACUAAGCGUACACGGUGGAUGCCUAGGCAGUCAGAGGCGAUGAAGGGCGUGCUAAUCUGCGAAAAGCGUCGGUAAGGUGAUAUGAACCGUUACAACCGGCGAUACCCGAAUGGGGAAACCCAGUGUGUUUCGACACACUAUCAUGUCAUGAAUACAUAGUGGCAUGAGGCGAACCGGGGGAACUGAAACAUCUAAGUACCCCGAGGAAAAGAAAUCAACCGAGAUUCCCCCAGUAGCGGCGAGCGAACGGGGAGGAGCCCAGAACCUGAAUCGGCUUGUGUGUUAGUGGAAGCGUCUGGAAAGUCGCGCAGCAAAGGGUGAUAGCCCCGUACACUAAAAUGCACAGGUCGUGAGUUCGAUGAGUAGGGCGGGACACGUGACAUCCUGUCUGAAUAUGGGGGGACCAUCCUCCAAGGCUAAAUACUCCUGACUGACCGAUAGUGAACCAGUACCGUGAGGGAAAGGCGAAAAGAACCCCGGCGAGGGGAGUGAAAUAGAACCUGAAACCGUGUACGUACAAGCAGUGGGAGCACCUUCGUGGUGUGACUGCGUACCUUUUGUAUAAUGGGUCAGCGACUUAUAUUUUGUAGCAAGGUUAACCGUAUAGGGGAGCCGUAGGGAAACCGAGUCUUAACUGGGCGAAUAGUUGCAAGGUAUAGACCCGAAACCCGGUGAUCUAGCCAUGGGCAGGUUGAAGGUUGGGUAACACUAACUGGAGGACCGAACCGACUAAUGUUGAAAAAUUAGCGGAUGACUUGUGGCUGGGGGUGAAAGGCCAAUCAAACCGGGAGAUAGCUGGUUCUCCCCGAAAGCUAUUUAGGUAGCGCCUCGUGAACUCAUCUUCGGGGGUAGAGCACUGUUUCGGCUAGGGGGCCAUCCCGGCUUACCAAACCGAUGCAAACUCCGAAUACCGAAGAAUGUUAUCACGGGAGACACACGGCGGGUGCUAACGUCCGUCGUGAAGAGGGAAACAACCCAGACCGCCAGCUAAGGUCCCAAAGUCAUGGUUAAGUGGGAAACGAUGUGGGAAGGCAUAGACAGCCAGGAUGUUGGCUUAGAAGCAGCCAUCAUUUAAAGAAAGCGUAAUAGCUCACUGGUCGAGUCGGCCUGCGCGGAAGAUGUAACGGGGCUAAACCAUGCACCGAAGCUGCGGCAGCGACGCUUAGGCGUUGUUGGGUAGGGGAGCGUUCUGUAAGCCGUUGAAGGUGGCCUGUGAGGGUUGCUGGAGGUAUCAGAAGUGCGAAUGCUGACAUAAGUAACGAUAAAGCGGGUGAAAAGCCCGCUCGCCGGAAGACCAAGGGUUCCUGUCCAACGUUAAUCGGGGCAGGGUGAGUCGACCCCUAAGGCGAGGCUGAAAAGCGUAGUCGAUGGGAAACAGGUUAAUAUUCCUGUACUUGGUGUUACUGCGAAGGGGGGACGGAGAAGGCUAGGCUAGCCGGGCGACGGUUGUCCCGGUUUAAGCGUGUAGGGGGUGUGACCUGGUAAAUCCGGUUACAUACUAACCCUGAGGCGUGAUGACGAUGCACUACGGUGCAGAAGUAGUUGAUGCCCUGCUUCCAGGAAAAGCCUCUAAGCUCUAGGUAACAUUAAAUCGUACCCCAAACCGACACAGGUGGUCAGGUAGAGAAUACCAAGGCGCUUGAGAGAACUCGGGUGAAGGAACUAGGCAAAAUGGUGCCGUAACUUCGGGAGAAGGCACGCUGGCAUGUAGGUGAAGUCCUUCGCGGAUGGAGCUGAAGCCAGUCGAAGAUACCAGCUGGCUGCAACUGUUUAAUAAAAACACAGCACUGUGCAAACACGAAAGUGGACGUAUACGGUGUGACGCCUGCCCGGUGCUGGAAGGUUAAUUGAUGGGGUCAGCCGCAAGGCGAAGCUCUUGAUCGAAGCCCCAGUAAACGGCGGCCGUAACUAUAACGGUCCUAAGGUAGCGAAAUUCCUUGUCGGGUAAGUUCCGACCUGCACGAAUGGCGUAAUGAUGGCCAGGCUGUCUCCACCCGAGACUCAGUGAAAUUGAACUCGCUGUGAAGAUGCAGUGUACCCGCGGCAAGACGGAAAGACCCCGUGAACCUUUACUAUAGCUUGACACUGAACAUUGAGCCUUGAUGUGUAGGAUAGGUGGGAGGCUUUGAAGCGUGGACGCCAGUCUGCGUGGAGCCAUCCUUGAAAUACCACCCUUUAAUGUUUGAUGUUCUAACUCGGCCCCGUGAUCCGGGGUGAGGACAGUGUCUGGUGGGUAGUUUGACUGGGGCGGUCUCCUCCCAAAGAGUAACGGAGGAGCACGAAGGUUAGCUAAUCACGGUCGGACAUCGUGAGGUUAGUGCAAAGGCAUAAGCUAGCUUGACUGCGAGAGUGACGGCUCGAGCAGGUACGAAAGUAGGUCUUAGUGAUCCGGUGGUUCUGAAUGGAAGGGCCAUCGCUCAACGGAUAAAAGGUACUCCGGGGAUAACAGGCUGAUACCGCCCAAGAGUUCAUAUCGACGGCGGUGUUUGGCACCUCGAUGUCGGCUCAUCACAUCCUGGGGCUGAAGUAGGUCCCAAGGGUAUGGCUGUUCGCCAUUUAAAGUGGUACGCGAGCUGGGUUUAGAACGUCGUGAGACAGUUCGGUCCCUAUCUGCCGUGGGCGUUGGAAGAUUGAGAGGGGUUGCUCCUAGUACGAGAGGACCGGAGUGAACGCACCACUGGUGUUCGGGUUGUCAUGCCAAUGGCAUUGCCCGGUAGCUAAGUGCGGAAAAGAUAAGCGCUGAAAGCAUCUAAGCGCGAAACUUGCCUCAAGAUGAGUCUUCCCUGGGCCUUUAAGGCCCCUGAAGGAACGUUUAAGACUAAGACGUUGAUAGGCUGGGUGUGUAAGUGCAGCGAUGCAUUGAGCUAACCAGUACUAAUGAUCCGUGAGGCUUAACCUUA